CGGAGCCGAGGGCGACUUGAAGAUUUCUACCUCAAGCUGAGCCGCACCGUCGAUCUGGCCAACCCAGGCUGAGUUGCUGGCUUGCUGCCUGUUGGCCUGCUACACAGCCUACUGAUAGUAUGCUCGGUAUUUGACAGGGAAAUCACACAGCGAAGGUUGGAGACUGAUGCGGAUGCGCGCAAGGGCAACGUUGGAUGACACCUAGAAGAGCAAGCACAGUGCAGCGAAGGAAGUACCGAGCUUUGGCAGCACUACACCAUCGUCCUCUGCCUCACCGAGCACAUCAAUUUCAUGAGAUGAUCAACUCCCCGCAUAGACCCGCUUCAAGGGACGAGGAUGCAGAGGCCAGCAACAAGGAGCGGGUGUGGGUGCUCAUCCUCGCCGCUGACCACAAGUGCUGCGACAAACUUUGGGCAGAAUUCGAUCCCUCCACGUGUAUGAGCAAAUCAAAUACUGCUUACUUCUUUCUGUCUGUUGUGUGCUGAAGUAGCUAAUAGACCGCUUUAGAAUGUUGUGAGCUUGGUUAUUUUACAUUGUUUGCUAAUAUCAAGCAAAGAAUGAA